rnacentral:tRNA from 1 species
AAAGGUGUAACUCAGUGGCAGAGUGCUUGCCUAGAAUGCAUAAGGCUCUGAAUUCAAUCCUCUGCACCAAUA